rnacentral:lncRNA from 1 species
CAAAUUUAUAUCACCCGAGAAACGAGGACAAUAGCACACGCAUAAAUCUCGAUUUUUCCGUGAUUUUUCUCUACAUCUAGUUUGAGGGUGAUGGGGUACCUAAAAGCUUAAGGGAGGCAAGUACUUAUACAAUGACACAGACACUUCUUGAGGUAGGAGGGGGAGGGGGAGUGGCAUGAGUUGAAGUGCCUUACAUUGUAAGUGGGUGGUAGGGGGGUUUGACUUCUCUGCCCACCCCCACCCAGACCCCUUAUCACCAGACUUCCUCUCUCUUUCUUCCGGCAUGCAAGUGGUUUGUCUAUUUAAUGGGCAAGUGAGGAGUAGAAGGGUGGGAGGUGAUUAGGGGUUGGAGGCUGGUUCUUGGGGCUAAAAGGUCGACUGUGGUGCAGCGUGAGACUGUAUUUUCAACCGUCCUGCCAAAGGCAUACUCACUGCUCACCCUCUGCCCCCAGCCCGUAGUUUUUCCGUUGCAGAUAUUGUUUCCCCGCUUCUUCUUGCUUUAGCUACAGUGGGCCAGAGGAAAGGGGUAUUGUUGAUGAGGGAAUGCAGCGAGAAGACGAAGCAGAGAAGUGGCAUUUGCGUCCGACUCGUGAGCCACAACUUAGGCUCGGCGGAGCGCGGUGACCGAGACCAGAGUGCCCCGGCAGCUCAACCAAUCGCGGAAUACCAAUAGAGUCUGGAACUCUGCUGCACCUGCUUAACCCUUUGAGCAGGCUGGGGUGAGGGAUGGGAAGCAGUAAGGAGACGUAGAGAGCGGAAGGAAGGGACCAAUUGGACAGAAAGACGUCUCAAGAGCCGGGAGCUAGAGGGACCCUACUCUAUCCCGACCAUUUGGAAAAGAUUUGUAAUUCAGACUCCUGUCCCCUCUCACCUAGGACCGGAGCUAGAGGAUAUUCUUCCCCUCUGCUGCUAUGAGGAAAAUGAGAACUGCACAAAGGCUCUUUCUCUUGCUCGUUUGAGCACUAGACUGUCCUGGUCAGCCUCUCAGCUCGCCAAACCUUCUCGGACCCCAGAGAAUGAAGUUGGAAUGAACGUAUUUGUAGGCAGAGUGGAAGAAAGAAAUGGAAGAUACAAGCAAGUAUGGUGUCAUUCAAUGGAGCAAUUUCUUAGAGAAGAUGGUAUCAAGAAUGAAGGCAGAAGUUAUGACCUUGAAAAAAAUGAAGAAAAAAGAUCUUGUUUCCAGCUCUGCCACACACUAUUUAACUCUGAGAAACUCAAUUACUUAAGAAGCUUCAAUUACUACCCUGGAUUAGAGGUAUCAAGCACACAACAUGCCUAUGCCAUGUGGCCUACCACACUUCCUAAUGCUGAACUUGAUAUGAAUCUAAUUAGGAAAUAAUUAACAAAAUAAAUAAAAAUACAGACACA